AACGAACGCUGGCGGCAGGCUUAACACAUGCAAGUCGAGCGCCCCGCAAGGGGAGCGGCAGACGGGUGAGUAACGCGUGGGAAUCUACCCAUCUCUACGGAAUAACGCAUGGAAACGUGUGCUAAUACCGUAUACGUCCUUCGGGAGAAAGAUUUAUCGGAGGUGGAUGAGCCCGCGUUGGAUUAGCUAGUUGGCGGGGUAAAGGCCUACCAAGGCGACGAUCCAUAGCUGGUCUGAGAGGAUGAUCAGCCACACUGGGACUGAGACACGGCCCAGACUCCUGCGGGAGGCAGCAGUGGGGAAGAUUGGACAAUGGGCGCAAGCCUGAUCCAGCCAUGCCGCGUGAGUGAUGAAGGACCUAGGGUUGUAAAGCUCUUUCGCCGGUGAGGAUAAUGACGGUAACCGGAGAAGAAGCCCCGGCUAACUUCGUGCCAGCAGCCGCCGUAACAC
rnacentral:rRNA from 1 species